rnacentral:rRNA from 1 species
CGGAUGAACGCUGGCGGCGUGCUUAACACAUGCAAGUCGAACGGUGAAGGCGGAGCUUGCUCUGCUGGAUCAGUGGCGAACGGGUGAGUAACACGUGAGCAAUCUGCCCCUGACUCUGGGAUAAGCGCUGGAAACGGCGUCUAAUACUGGAUACGAGCUGCGAAGGCAUCUUCAGCAGCUGGAAAGAACUUCGGUCAGGGAUGAGCUCGCGGCCUAUCAGCUUGUUGGUGAGGUAAUGGCUCACCAAGGCGUCGACGGGUAGCCGGCCUGAGAGGGUGACCGGCCACACUGGGACUGAGACACGGCCCAGACUCCUACGGGAGGCAGCAGUGGGGAAUAUUGCACAAUGGGCGCAAGCCUGAUGCAGCAACGCCGCGUGAGGGACGACGGCCUUCGGGUUGUAAACCUCUUUUAGCAGGGAAGAAGCGAAAGUGACGGUACCUGCAGAAAAAGCGCCGGCUAACUACGUG